UGAGAUGGCUGCAGCACUAGCUCGAGCCUACCACGGGCAUUUUGCUCUCUUCCUUCUCUCCUUCUCGGCCCUGCAGUGUGCCUCUACAGUGAAGGUGACCCAGCAUCCAGUGUUUAGUGGUUUGUCACAGAAUGAGACCCUAUACCUGAACUGCACUGUUGAUCAGCAGAACUACAAUUUCUUUUGGUACCGCCAGCUCCCUGGACAGACUGAGCUACGGCACCUUGGGACUUUGUACACCUACAGCAAUAGUCUAUCUGAAAAACCAAGUGAAAUAAAAGAUCGGCUCAAUGGCAAACGAGAGAAAAAUAGCUGUUACCUAAGCCUGCAACACCUUCAGCCUGAAGACACAGGACUGUAUUUGUGUGCUGUCACGGACACAGAGAUAGUGGCAGGAAGGAGGGCUGAUACAAAACUGAGCACCAGGCAACAUGCAUUUGUUACAACAUUCUCUCAGUACUGUAUGUAA